rnacentral:rRNA from 1 species
UACGGGGGGGGCAAGCGUUUGUUCGGAAUUACUGGGCGUAAAGGGCUCGUAGGCGGCCAACUAAGUCAGACGUGAAAUCCCUCGGCUUAACCGGGGAACUGCGUCUGAUACUGGAUGGCUUGAAUCCGGGAGAGGGAUGCGGAAUUCCAGGUGUAGCGGUGAAAUGCGUAGAUAUCUGGAGGAACACCGGUGGCGAAGGCGGCAUCCUGGACCGGCAUUGACGCUGAGGAGCGAAAGCCAGGGGAGCAAACGGG